CCUGGGUGGCCUGAGGAAGAGGGAGGGAGGUUGAGGUUGACGGAAGGGGCGGGGGCGUAGCUGACGCCGCCGCCCCCACCAUUUUGGAGCGGCUUCUCCGGAGGCUGAAGGAGGCCCUGGGCGCCACCCACUCGCCGACUGCCUGUGUCCUCGGAACUUCUCCAGGCUGGCGGCCACCCGGCGACUUGGUUUUCAUUCUCCGCCAUGCCCUCUUCCCGCUUUGUGACCUUGAGCAUAUCGUUUCUAUAUAAAGUGAGCGAGCCGGCUUCCAGGACGGAAGAAUUCAUCUUCCCAGCAAUGGGUAAAGCAUAAAUUGGCAACAGUCCUGUACUGUAGUCACCUCUCCUGGCACACCUGCAGUAACUUCAGCCUGAUAGUUUGACAUUGGCCAUGAAAACUGGAGAAUUCUACAAACCUCAUCCUUCUGGAAAGCAACCCUCCCCCACAUCAUCUGUAUGCAGCCACCAGCACACCGGAGAUCGCCAAAACCUCACUGUGACUGAGUUUUCCAGCAGCCUUUGUAGCAGAGUUUCCCCGCAGACAAGCUGAUUUAGAAUGCCUAAAGAAGACUAAAAACAUAGCCGGAGCUGACCAUGACCGUCUCAUCCUCUCACCUCCAGCUCCUGAGUAUUGGGAAUUAGACUGUGUGACCACAACCAGAAAUGAGGCAUUUCUGACGUCUAACUCUGUAGAUUAACUGCAUACUUUCAAUGCAUGGUGAGAUACAACCCAGCACUUGAAAGGCAGGGGCAAGAUGAUUGCUUGAUAAGCAUAGUAAAGUCUAAGCCAGCCAGGGCUACAUAGCAAGACUUUGUCUCAAAAAAACAAGCCAACGAACAAAAUGUGUGUUUGUUGCUCUAAGUACCUUGUACACACACCCCAGGGCUCAUCUUUCUCCUCUCAAAGAGCAUGUCCUAGUACCUCACAGAACACACUACUAUCCUUUCUAGAUGGAAGGAAAAUAGACACUUGGGCCGGGUGGUGGUGGCGCAUGCCUUUAAUAAGCACUCGAGAGGCACAGCCAGGAGAAUCUUUGUGAGUUCAAGCACAGCCUGGUCUACAAAUUGAGA